AUGAAGUUGGAAUUGCUGUAAUCGCAGAUCAGAAUGCUGCGGUGAAUACGUUCCCGGGCCUUGUACACACCGCCCGUCACACCAUGGGAGCCGGUAAUACCCGAAGUCAGUAGUCUAACCGCAAGGGGGACGCUGCCGAAGGUGGGAUUGAUGACUGGGGUGAAGUCGUAACAAGGUAUC
rnacentral:rRNA from 1 species